rnacentral:rRNA from 1 species
UGAGGAAUAUUGGGCAAUGCCCGCAAGGGUGACCCAGCAACGCCGCGUGGAGGAUGAAUGUCGUAAGAUUGUAAACUCCUGUUAGAGGGGAAGAAUAGUACCGGUUGGACCGGUAUAUGACUGUACCCUCAGAGAAAGCCCCGGCUAACUACGUGCCGGCAGCCGCGGUAAUACGUAGGGGGCAAGCGUUGUCCGGAUUUACUGGGUGUAAAGGGCGCGCAGGCGGGAUAAAAAGUCGGUGGUGAAAUCCUACAGCUUAACUGCAGAACUGCCUUUGAUACUUUUAGUCUUGAGUUCGGGAGAGAGAGACGGAAUUCCAGGUGUAGUGGUGAAAUACGUAGACAUCUGGAAGAACACCAGUUGCGAAGGCGGUCUCUUGGUCCGACACUGACGCUGAGGCGCGAAAGCGUGGGGAGCAAACA